GCGGGGCUUCCAGCUUUCGUCCGGCCUUCUCUGUCUUUGAGCGUGGGGGCCCCGGCUAGGCGCAGGUAUCUGAGGGUUCCCGGGGGCGGACACAAACUUGCUCGGGAGAGGUUGGCACCUAGGUGUCGCGGUUCCUAAGCCCACCAAAGGGACUGAGUCUCAGAGCGUAACGUCAGACCCAGUUUGCCUUCUGGGGAAAGCUGGCCCAAGUGAGUCACCCAAUCCAUCCAUCGUGCCCGAGGGAUUACUACCAGAGUGGAGAAGUGUCAGGGCCAGGACCUGGAAGUUUCAUCUCUCCGGUACUCUAGCCCACGAGAAGUCAGGUUGGUCUAACCGACCUAAACCUUGGACAGGUACUUGGUGCCUUCAUAGUCUUCUUUGAAAGGCAGAUAGAAGUGCAAUAAUUGCUUGGCUUUCACACCGUCUUUGGACAAGGCUCUCCAUAACAGGAAAGAUCUGCUCGUGUUGUCUGAGCUCAGGACCCAAAUCAGCUACUUUGAGGAGAGAACUUGACCAUUCCCCCUCAGAAUUCUUCCAUUCAUGUCUCUCUAAGGGAGGAGUGACUUAUGUAAUUGGCAGACGGUGGUAAGAGUCAUAAGACAUGCAUGCCGUGUCCUUUGCUUGGCUCUCCCAUUCACACCUGCCUUCCACAGAGAUGUGCUCACUGAAUACAGCCCUAGAUGACAAGGACCCAUGUAGCAGUAGUUGCUGUCUUGGCCCAUGUUUUCCCAGAUAGGUAGAUCUCUCAGGAAUCUUACAAGUGUAACAUGAUGGCUUGUAAAUUCCCGAGAAAGCACCUUGAAAGGAGAACUUUCUAGUUCUGAGGCACGUACCCUUAGCCAUUACACUGAACUGCCAGGCCACAUCACAAAACCUUAUGUAAGCCAUGCAAUCCCCAUGCAAAGUUUAUAUAUAUGUGUGUGUGUGUGUGUGUGUGUGUGUGUGUGUGUGUGUGUGUGUGUG
rnacentral:sRNA from 1 species